CGUGCGCACACGCCUAAUCCCGCAAGGGAGCCGGGGAACCACCAACUUGGGGUGAAUCGGUCAUCUCUCGUACGGAAGUCUCGUACGCGCAGAGGUGCCCGUAGGAGACCUUCCUGCUCCGAACCCGUCAGCUAACCCGGUAGGCGAGAAGGAAGGAAAGG
rnacentral:sRNA from 2 species